CGGCAGCACGGGUUCGGCCUGGUGGCGAGUGGCGAACGGGUAGUAAUACAUCGGAACGUACCCAGAAGUGGGGGAUAACGUAGCGAAAGUUACGCUAAUACCGCAUACGUUCUACGGAAGAAAGUGGGGGAUCGCAAGACCUCAUGCUUUUGGAGCGGCCGAUGUCUGAUUAGCUAGUUGGUGAGGUAAAGGCUCACCAAGGCGACGACCAGUAGCUGGUCUGAGAGGACGACCAGACACAACACUGGAACUGAGACACGGUCCAGACUGCCUACGGGAGGCAGCAGUGGGGAAUUUUGGACAAUGGGCGCAAGCCUGAUCCAGCAAUGCCGCGUGAGUGAAGAAGGCCUUCGGGUUGUAAAGCUCUUUUGUCAGGGAAGAAACGGCAGUAACUAAUAUCCUUUGCUAAUGACGGU
rnacentral:rRNA from 1 species